rnacentral:rRNA from 12 species
GCUGUUGGGCACAUUAACUACGCUGAUCCGAUCCUGUCAGAUCUUGGAAGUUAAGCACGGUCAGACAUGGUUAUUACUUGGAUGGGAGACUGCUGUGGAAGACCGCAGGCUGUUAGAC